rnacentral:rRNA from 1 species
UACGGAAGGGGGCUAGCGUUGCUCGGAAUCACUGGGCGUAAAGGGUGCGUAGGCGGGUUUUUAAGUCAGAGGUGAAAUCCUGGAGCUCAACUCCAGAACUGCCUUUGAUACUGAGAAUCUUGAGUAUGGGAGAGGUGAGUGGAACUGCGAGUGUAGAGGUGAAAUUCGUAGAUAUUCGCAAGAACACCAGUGGCGAAGGCGGCUCACUGGCCCGAUACUGACGCUGAGGCACGAAAGCGUGGGGGAGCAAACAGG